GCGGCGGAACGUGGUCGAAGAAACCGUCGUUCUCGUCGUAGUUGAGAAUCAGGACGGUGGAGUCGAAGGUCUCCUGGUUCGAGGCCAGCGCCUGCA
rnacentral:tRNA from 1 species